rnacentral:rRNA from 1 species
GACGAACGCUGGCGGCGUGCCUAAUACAUGCAAGUCGAGCGAUGAAGCUUGGUGCUUGCUCCAAUUUCAAGAGCAGCGAACGGGUGAGUAACGCGUGGGGAAUCUGCCUUUGAGCGGGGGACAACAUUUGGAAACGAAUGCUAAUACCGCAUAACAUCUUUAACCAUAAGGUUUAAUUUUGAAAGAUGCUAUUGCUGCACCUAAAGAUGAUCUCGCGUGGUAUUAGCUAGUUGGUGAGGUAAAAGCUCACCAAGGCGAUGAUACGUAGCCGACCUGAGAGGGGGAGCGGCCACACUGGGGCUGAGACACGGGCCAAACUCCCCCGGGAGAGGGCAGAGUGGGAUAUUCGGCGAUGGGCGAGAGUCUGAGAGAGAAACGCGGCGUGAGUGAGGAAGGGUUCUGGAGCGUAAAACACUGUGGGUAGAGGAGAAAAUUGGUGUGAGUGGAAAGCUGAUCAAGUGGACGGAACUAACCAAAAAAGGACCGGUAAAUUCGGUG